AAAAGUGUAUUUCAUUUAAAUAGAAUACUAAUUUGAUACGAAUAAGUUAAUUUUUAUUCAUAAUUUUAAUUUUGAAAACGUGUUCAUUCCGCCUGAAAAUUAAUUACUAUCUUGGACGCUCCCAAAAUCAUGAAACGAAGCUCAGUGCCGUCAACGCGAAUAUCAACAAACACAGCACAAACGAAAAACAGAAUGUGAAAAACAAGUUAGAACCAGAGAAGAAAAACAUCAAAAUGGACUCAGAAUAACAUUUUGAUAAAUCGUGGUGAGAGUGUUCUACAAGUGGCUGACGAAACGGGCCUUCCACGGUCGACAGUUUACGGAAUCGAGAAGCAAGAAAUAGCAUUGCGGUAUUGCAAGGCGUUGGUCAACUAAACUAUCCCCUGCUUUCGAGAUAAUAAUAGGAAAUAUAAAGGUAGAGAAACCAGAUGCCGAAAUCGACACAACUAUCGUUAAGGAAGAAUAUGAUGUGAAACUUAAAAAUACGAAUGCAAUCACUCAGCCCAUGGCGCCGAAGAAAUUAACCAAGAACAUUCAUAAACUUAUCAAAAAAGCAUCAAAACACAAAUCUUAUUUACGAUAUGGAUUAAAGGAUGUUCAAGUGCGUCCGCGGAAUAAUGAAACAGGGAAAGCAAUGUGUAUAUUGUGUGUUGAAAUGGAGGAUUGUCAUUUUCGCUGCAGAAAAGUGGAAAUCAUGUGUCACUUGCCAUCUGUUUGUGAGAAACGCAAUAUCCCAUAUUGCUAUACGCCGAGUCGGAAGACUUGGGAGCAGCAGUGGGUGUGAAAUGAGGCACAGUCGCAAUACUAAUCCGAGAGCAGCCCGAUUAUCAGGAAAGGUUCGAUAAACUAAAAGUGAAGAAUCAAUGCCGUCAACACGAAUAUACCAUUGUGCGAGUUUUUACAACACGAUAAA